UUAAACCCAUUCGCACGCUCCAGCAUCUCAUACGGUUCGGAGAACACGCGGCGCGUCCUCCGAAUGCGCGAACGGGGCGCGGACAAAACGAGCCUGGACAGAAGCCGGACUCUACCGCUUCACGGUGCUACGCUGUGCUGUAGUUUGUGGUGUGCUAGACUGCUAGUCAUGGAACUGCUGCCAUUUCUGAGGAUGCUUCUGAGCUUCAAGGAAUUGCUACCAUUUUUUUAAUAGUGUUAGUUGGUUGGAGCAAAUCGGAGAUUUGGAUCAGAAUUGGUUGUGCUUGGACAAAAAAUGCUGUAGCCCUAUUAGCAAAUCAAUCUUAAUGUCGUGCUGCCUUUUACCCUCUUCUCUAGGAGAUCAUUGGUUCUAAUUUGAAUCCUCAUUUUACGAGAAAAGGAUUUUAUCUGAAGUUCAGCCUACACGAUAGGUACCGAUUUGCUUUAGUUUUUCUGUAUUUCCUCAUUCUUUUCUAUUCUCAAGUGUUUAUGGAAAAUAGUGGGCAUGCCUCCACAGACCAAGAAUAGGAUCUGUGAGAAGCAUUCAGAAAAGGAAAAGAAAGGAAAAAAAAUGUCCUGUAGGAGGGGAGGACUGAGGACACCAUACAAAAAACUCGGUUUGAGCCAUGGCCAUAGAGCAAAAGCUUAAACUUUCUUGAUGUUGAUUUUUAGUCAUAUAGUUCCAAAAAUUCUCUUCCUACAUUCGUUUACUUUGAGAAAAUUCAGUAUUAUCCAAGUUCAUACUUGAUGAGAAAGGUUUCAUGGCUACAAUUUAAAUAGGAAUAUAUGACAUUCAAUUUUGACAUAUUCCCAGGAGCAUAUAUUACUUUACUAAGUAAUAAUCAGACGUUCACUAUAUAAGAAGGAAAGAACCAGGAAAAGAAUAUCUGGAGUUGCAUUUUUUUUUUUUUUUUUUUGAGGAAGUCUGUAGUUGCAUUUUGAAAUACCUCUUUCGUAGCAUAAGAUAGAACUUUGGGUCGCAAAAGGGUGUAUUCCUUUAAGUCCCGGUAGUAGCUUUAAUAUUUUGUUCUUGUUGUAAAUCAAGCAUACUGUAAGCGGGUAUGAUUGGCUUUUCAUUUCAUGCACAAUCCUGUGGUUAGCAAUAGUGAGGCAGAGAGGAUAUAGAAAGGGGUUUGGGGUUGUGGAGACAGAGAGGAGAGAAAUAAGAAAGUGCGUGCAUUUUAAUGAUUUAACGAUCUGAAUGUUCUAUUCAGAAAAGAAUUUCUUGGCAUCAUGUUUCCACAGGAGGGCACAUUGUAAAUCAAGCAUACUCCUGCUUGAUAUAAGGUCUUAGGAGUGGGGCUGCAACUUGGGUGAGCUCAGAAUGAGCUUUUCUUUUUUCUUUUUCUUUUAUUUUUUUUAAUUUGAGUGGGCCUGGGCCCGAUGUUGUGUAAAUUCUUAAUUCAGGUAUCCAACUUGCACCCCUUCUUAGGAGUAUCAGUUAUAGUUGGACUGCUGGUUACUUUCUUGGUGCAAGGUUCUUCCACGUGUUCUGUGUUCUACUUUUAGCCUCAGGUAGAGGAUCCUACGGACAUUUAGUGACCUAAUCUUAUAGAAUGUAGAUUAGGAAGGCGAUCUAGAUGAUUAUAAGUUGACUACUGGGUAUUGCUCACCUGUUGAUGGGAAUCUAGUCAUAUGGAGAAGUAAGAAGUAUUCUAUACUCUGUUGUUGCACAUCUAGUAUUGAAACCAAAUAUAGAACGAUGACUCAUGCACUUCUGACCUGCUAUAGGUGAAAAUUUUGUUAAUUGGGCUGGGUCUUGUUGUUGUAAAAAUUGCAAAGCUAAUAAACACCUAGGAUUCUUGAUAUAAUAUUUCCAGCAAUCCUAGUAAACAUAAAAAAGACUAUUUGCCAAUACUGGUUCCUGUUAUCCAGGCUCAAACUUAUCAGCCUGAUGUUUUACCAUCACAACAAAGAAUCCUGUUCAAUAUGAUGGGACAAAACACAUUGAAGUUGAAGGACAAUUUAUAAGAGAGUAUUAUUUCUCAAAAAGUGUAAAGGGUCAUUACCUAAUGCCAAAUAUUUUCUUGCAUGAAGUAGCUUUUCUCAUUCUCAACCCACAUUCUCAUUCUUGUCAAUCUGAACCAUGUUAAAUCCUUGGAUUUGUAUGUUUGCUACUCUGAUAUUAUUUUCUCUGUUUUGUUAUUAUUGUCAACCUGUAUGGUCAUGCUUAUCAGCCCAAGAUUUUACUGAUCCACCAAGAAGUUUGUUUAGCACUGAUAAAGAUAAAAUACCAUCUAAUAAACAUUCUGGCUAAGGUAGUACUUUGGUCAAAGCUAGAGUAUAUCUUUAGCAAGUUGAACAUGAUUGACAACUAUUCUCUGCUUGAAAAGGAGCUUAGGGAUUAUAGCAUAGGUAUAGUAAAAUUUUAAUGGCAAUAUUGUGAAUUUUCAAUGAUAAGACUAAUAAUGAUGGUGUUGAUUGUCCCUAACUCAGUUUUUUCUCCCCCACCACAUUCUUCUGUGUCUUCUCCUUCCCAAUUUCUUAAUGAUAGACAAAUCUAGUAUAGGGCCUAAGAGUUAUAUACUGGAGUUAUUUAUUUUAUUUGGUCUUUGGCCCAUGGUUUGCAAAUAGUUUCUUUGAGGGGAAUUGCUUGUAUGUUCUCCCUCAUAGUUCUAACUUUUCUUGGGUUCUUCUAUAAGAUGAGUUAUUACACUUGGUAGCUUUCAUUCAGAUGAUACAUGAGAAGAUGUAUAUGGAACUAAUACUUCUUGGGAUUGCAUAGUUGCUCUUCUCCUGUUAUCUCCAGUAGUCUCUCAAGAAGCAAGGCGCCAUUACUUGGUGUAAUGGUAAAAUAUCGGGAUGGCAAGUAUGAGAAUGCAGGUUCAAGAGUUGUCUGAAUUUUGAAGUUAUUGGGAAAGUUGAAUGUAUAAUCUUUUGUCUUUAUAUAGAAAGAAUUUAAGUAGGUUUCAUCAUCUUUUGCAUCAAACAGCAUAGCAUCACUUGGUCUCUCUUGAUAGUUAGCAUGCUAUACAUCACUGUAAAUACCUCAUAGACAAAAAACCAUGUAACUUCUGAAUAUGUGGCUUUUCCCCGUUCUUGUUUUAUACCUUAACAUGAUCACAAUCUUAUCAGGAAGAAAGUGCCACACAUUCUCUGUAAUUUUCUAGUCACAGAUAUAUACACAAAAAAAAAGGAAAAACGUUGGAUAAACAUGGAUAGUUAAAAUGAAGUUCAUCUUUGAUUUUCACUGUGCACUUGCAUCUAUUGGCUCUUGGAAUAUGGUACUAUGUUACCCAGAUAUGGCAAAGAUACGGCUGGACAUGGUGUCUGAUACAAAAUUUACACUAAAAAUUAAUUGACAAGAAACGGAACCCUUGUACAGAUAUCUAGGUAACAUAAUGUUUUUUUGGUAGAACCUAUUUAUCAUAUUUAUGGUAACAUUCUGAAAAAGCAAAUCUACAUUUUGAUUCAAAACCAAUGGAUAUUGAUGUACUAACUGGAUACCUGGCACCAUGAAUUUGUGCUUGCUUUAAGAUGAAGAAUGAAAGGAUGCACUACAGACUUAUGGAUUGCUACUACUAUGAAUGAGUGGUAUCUCAACUCUGAAGGAAAGUGUGAUGCUUUCUCCUAGUAUUGAUGCCAAGAACCUUCCAGAGUGAUUCUACACAUCCUACAGCCAGUCCCAGAGGAAAAUUUAAGCCCCAUUAAACCCCAAUUUUCAAAACCGUAAUUAUGAACUUCUAACCCAAUUUAACUUCUUUACCUUUCUAGUUUUCCUUUGGUCCUCUUGAAUAGAGUUCUUUCUUCUUUUCUGCCAAAUAUCCAGUGUAUCAUAUAUGCUUCAAAUCUCCUUUCAUGUUAAAUAUCCUGAUAAACCAUGUAGUUGGCGCAUCCACAUGUUAAAUUACCUGAUUCAACUUUCAUUUUUUAGGAUUAAUCCUUUCUUGUUGUUGGCCUUUGCAUAACCAUUCUCUUAUGGACUGCUGCCAGCCUGCCAUAUUCUCCUAUUCCUGUUACUCUGAGGAACUCCUCGUGGAGUUUUUCCAUCCUGGUAUCUAUAGGGUCUUCCUUAGAUUGCUAGGUUCCAUUAUCAACUCCUUAAAGAUGCUAUUGAGUCUGGUAAGCCAAUCAAGACUCGGUUCAAUGUGUAACUUGGUCAACACUGAUACAAGUAUGAUCUAGUACUAGCUUGAGUUUGCAAGGUCCAUUGUGUCAGUGCAUAAAAUAUACAAAAUUUAGCCACAUUAUUCGUGGGAAAAUUGAAUCACACAAAAGAAGAAUAAGGUACUAUGCAUUUCUUACCAAUCAAAAGAAAUAAAAAAAAGAAAAGAAAAUUGUUAUGCUUUGUAGAGAUCAUAAACUUUAAUGAUGGCUUCCCUUGUGAAAAGAAAGGAGGAUAGAAAUGAUAGGGGAAGUGCGAAGGAGAGGGCAUGGAUAGUAAGGGUGUCAAUGGACUGGUUUUGGAUUGACCCCGUCCGGUCCGAAAU